AUUCUUUUAGUAUAAAAUGUAUUUUUGACUUCCAAUCAAAAGGUCUAUAACUAGUAGAAAGAAUA
rnacentral:tRNA from 1 species